AGAAAUAACAUUUAGCAAGCGCGGUCUCAAAUAUAAUUAAUUCAAUCAGAGCAUAGCUUGAUUACUCACGCUCUAUCUUUUAAAUCUACAACUUAUUUAAAAACAGCACUUUUGGGGUGUUUUUUAUUGUCCCCAUGGACAAGGCUUGAAAGCCUUAAAACCCACUUUAAGUUUAACAUGACAGCAUCAUAAAUUAGUAUUCCCUGUGUUUACUCUCAUGAGCCCCAUUAUGUUUCGACGCAAAGCGUUAAAAAAUUAAAAAAAAGAAAGACUCUGCUAACCAAGUCCACUGUACGUCGCGGAAUUCCCUUUGUAGCCAAAGUAUGGUGGCUUGACGUCUUUGGUUUUUAAAUUUCUUUGUCAAAAUCCAAUCAAAGCGGAGUGGGACAUCGAGAGCUGUCGAUGACCCACGUCGGCUGACUGCGAUUUUCGAUUUGAUAUUUCCUUAUCAGAUUCGCGCGAUAUCUUUUCUACUGCCGAGAGUGCUGCAAACAGUGACUGCUCAAUAUUCCCGACAAUGAGAACUCCUACUGGGUGACGCGGAACUGGGCGAUCUAUCCAGCUGUAACCCCGGAACCACUCGCCUCGUAAAGCUCCAUUGCCGAUCUAAGCGCACGUACCAUGUGCGGAGGGAUAUUUGAGGCUGGCAAACUUCAGUAAACUUUAGUAUUCAUGCUCGCAUCUCGUUCGUGACGGAACAAAUAAAACAAGCUGCAAACAGGCCCAGAAUCGAUUGGCGUGCGUCCCCGAAUGUCGAGUGGCGAGAGGGUCGGAAGGUCUCAACCCUCGCUCUAAUGAUAAGAAUUCGUCCCAUCGUCGUCGUUUUUUCUGAUCCAACAAAAUGAUAGUCAUCAAUGCCUCCGACACGGGUCUAACCCUCACACCCGAAAUGUUGCUAUCCACCUCGGAAUCAUCGACCCACAGCGCCUCCGAGGUCGCCGGACGACUGCAGGUCGACGUGCGGACCGGCCUCAAAUGGACGGAAGCUAAGUACCGUGCCAAGAUUAUCGGGCACAACGAGCUGCUGCUCGUCGCAGAGGACCCCACCUGGAAGAAGUAUAUUGAGCAGUUCAAGAACCCGCUCAUUCUGCUGCUCCUUGGCUCGGCCCUGGUGUCCGUGAUCAUGAAGCAAUUUGACGACGCCGUGAGCAUAACCAUCGCCAUCCUGAUCGUCGUCACGGUGGCCUUUAUUCAGGAGUACCGCUCCGAGAAGAGCCUGGAGGAGCUGAAGAAACUGGUGCCACCCGAGUGUCACUGUCUGCGGGAAGGUCGUCUGGACACUUUCCUGGCACGCGAACUGGUUCCCGGCGACAUCGUGCACCUUAACGUGGGCGACAGGGUGCCCGCCGACGUGCGCCUUUUCGAGGCCGUGGACCUGUCUAUCGACGAGAGCAGCUUUACCGGCGAAACGGAGCCUGCGCGCAAGAUUACUGAUGUCCUGCUCAACAACACGAACGUAAAGGACCACAGCAACAUGAAGAACAUAGCUUUCAUGGGCACACUGGUGAGGUGUGGCAAUGGUAAGGGCAUCGUUGUCAGCACUGGGGAGCGCAGCGAGUUCGGCGAGGUCUUCAAGAUGAUGCAGGCAGAGGAGGCUCCGAAGACGCCGCUGCAGAAGUCGAUGGACAUCCUGGGCGCCCAGUUGAGCUUCUACUCCUUUUUGAUUAUCGGCGUCAUAAUGCUGCUGGGCUGGCUGCAGGGCAAGCCGCUCUCGGAGAUGUUCAACAUCAGCGUCUCGCUGGCCGUGGCGGCCAUUCCCGAGGGCCUUCCCAUCGUAGUGACAGUCACCUUAGCGCUUGGAGUGAUGCGGAUGGCUAAGCGGAACUCUAUCGUAAAGAAGCUGCCCACUGUUGAGACCCUGGGCUGCGUGAAUGUCAUCUGCUCUGACAAGACGGGCACCUUGACCAAGAACGAGAUGACGGCCACGAUCAUUAUCACUUCAGACGGAUACAUGGCGGACGUGACCGGCGCCGGCUACAACGACCAGGGAGAGAUCCACAUUCGGCACUGCAACAACGUGGAGAUGGCCAAGACCAAUAUUAACAACCUCCUGGAAAUCGGGGCGGUCUGCAACAACGCUUACAUCCAGAAUGGGACGCUGCUGGGACAGCCCACAGAGGGAGCUCUCGUGGCGGUGGCCAUGAAGAACGGCAUGUACGCCACAGCAGAGAACUACGUUCGCAUCCAGGAGUACCCUUUCAGCUCGGAACAGAAAAUGAUGGCUGUCAAGUGCAUCCACAAAUACAACAACAACAAGGAGGAGAUUUUCUUCGCCAAGGGGGCACUAGAGACGCUCCUGCCGCAGUGCACCAAGUACCAGUUCGGCAACCAAACGGUACCACUAACCAAGCAGAACGAGGCAGAGUUCCUAGCCGAGGCGUACGAGAUCGGGCGAAAGGGCCUACGGGUGCUGGCACUGGCCAAAGGCCGGUCCAUGCAGGACCUGAUCUACUGCGGCCUGGUCGGCAUCACUGACCCACCGAGGCCCCUUGUGCGGGAGUCCAUCGAGAUGCUGAUGCAGAGCGGAGUGCGGGUUAAGAUGGUGACUGGAGAUGCCCAGGAAACAGCCUUAGCUAUCGCGAAUCUCAUCGGCAUCGACACUAUUCACCACCAGACUCUGUCCGGUCAGGAGAUCGAUCAAAUGAACGAGCACCAACUGGACAAGGUGGCCAACAACGUGAGUGUCUUCUACCGCGUAUCGCCGCGCCACAAGCUGGAGAUAGUCAAGUCGCUUCAGCGCACCGGCAACAUAGUCGGCAUGACUGGCGACGGUGUGAACGACGGAGUGGCUCUGAAGAAGGCGGACAUCGGCAUUGCCAUGGGCAAAAACGGGACGGAUGUAUGUAAGGAGGCGGCAGACAUGAUUUUGGUCAACGACGAUUUCCACACCAUCAUCGCCGCCAUCGAAGAGGGCAAGGGCAUCUUCUACAACAUCCGGAAUUUCGUGCGCUUUCAGCUGAGCACAUCAAUAGCCGCCCUGGCGCUCAUAGCUUUGGCCACUCUGAUGGACAUUGCCAAUCCCCUCAACGCCAUGCAGAUUCUAUGGAUCAACAUCAUAAUGGAUGGUCCGCCCGCCCAGUCCUUGGGCGUAGAGCCCGUGGACCAUGAUGUCCUCAAGCAGAAGCCGCGAAACGUUAAGCAGCCGAUGAUUACCAAGUCAGUGGUGGUGAACGUUCUGCUCAGUGCCAGCAUAAUAGUGCUGGGCACGCUUUGGGUGUUUCAGCGCGAGAUGGCCGACGGCACGCUAGGGAAGACCAAGCGGGACACGACCAUGACCUUCACUUGCUUCGUAUUCUUCGACAUGUUCAAUGCGCUUUCCUGCCGCUCGCAGACAAAAAGCGUAUUCACCAUCGGACUGACCACCAACCGCAUGUUCCUGCUGGCCGUCGCCUUCUCCAUCAUUGGGCAAAUGCUGGUCGUCUACUUUCCGCCGCUGCAGAUGGUUUUCCAGACGGAAGCCCUUACGCCAUACGACAUCUUCUUUCUGGUCUCCCUCACCUCCUCGGUUUUGGUUGUCUCCGAGAUAAAGAAAUGGUUCGAACGCACCAUGGAGCGCAAGAUGUACAGCACCCGCUCCGAGCUGGACUUUGUAUGACAAAAAGCAAGCGCUAGAGAAGACAUGCACCCCAAAGCCGAGUAAAUUAAAUAACUAAACAAAAAAACCCAUAAAAAGCAAAACUAUGCCAAAACAAGCGAGAAGCGCGGCGAAGUACAGCCACAGAGAAGCAAAAGCCGGAACAGGAGCAAGGGAGCAGCGAUGUGUGUGUUUACUUUUAUAUUUGACUCGACCAAUUAGGAAACAUUUAGUCGGCAAUGUGGUUUUCGACCAGACUGGGCGAAACAGGGAAUUUCAUAGAUUUGACGAAAGCUUCCAGCGAAGCAACUGGAAACCUAUCGCUUGAUUCGGUUUCGUGAGUCCGAUAAAGUUCUACAGGCAAAUGCUGAUUAUACUAGGUAUCCGUCAACACAAAGGAAAAUAAUGGAUAUGAGUUAAAGAGGGCAAGAAAAGGACAAAGCAUGGCGUAGUUAAAUAAAACAUGGUUUUUUUUGGUAACAUUGUUAAAUAAUUUAUUCGGUAUUUGAAAAGCAAACAAUCAAUUUGUGUACCUUACAUGAACGCAAAUUGAAACUCUAGCGCGUUAGCAAUUAAAGAAAAACAUUUUUACAAAAGCAUCUCCAGAGGAAAAUCAAAUGGAGAGUAAAGUUUUUACUAUGAACAACUUUACAUUUAAAAAAAUUCGAUUAUAGUUUUUCUUGUUUUGGAUAGGAACAAAAUAGAUCAAAAGCACUAAACCCACUGCAAAAUUUCACAGGGCAAACAGCACCACAUUCAAAUGUACCGUAAUUUCUUAAAUAACAUUCGUAUUUUAAAUUCAAGUGUUUAUUCUUAGAAUAUAUAUUCUUGAAGCUGCGUACUUACAAAAAUUUAGUUUCUGGGUUAAAUUGAAUACAGAUGCAAUACGCUCAUUAAACGUCAAAAGAAUUAUACCAAUGCAACGUAUCUUGCGAAUUGUAAUCAAAAGUAUGCAUCUUAUUAGUCAAUUAAUGCAUUUUUAAUACAUUUAAAGGAAUAUUUAUUAAACUCAAUAGAACCCCAAGAUUUAUACAAACUAUAUAACUAAACUCUUAAAUAUCAUUGACAUUCGAUUCAUAUCAUAACUCAGAAGUGUAAUAACCCAUGAAAGGCAUUUUCACAUGUAGAACUAGAGUUCACUUAUGCACUGGGAGCAUAUCACAUUUUCCGAUGGUGUUUGUUUUCGAUCAAAAAACUAUAAAAGCAUUCGUCAUAUUUCACAAUUUCGUUGAGUGGAAUUUGUUUUCGCUUCACUAUUGCAAUUAAUGGACCAAUCAAGAAAUUAUUUAUUUGAUCACACACAUUAAGGUCACGCUUAGCUCGUCAGAGACACGCUCUCAUAUAUCAAGGCAAGGAAAAAAACAGAAAAAUGUUAAAAAAAGGAACAUUGCAUAUCAACCUUACCUCCCCCAUUUUUUUAGUUUUUAAAAAUCACAAUACCACUGUGAUUGCAAUGAUCUUUGCAUUCCAUUAUUAUCCUCAUACGUAUUUGACAAUAUUACCACUCUUAAUUAUAUCUUUCGAACGGAAGGCACGAUGGAUCAAGUGUACUAUCUCACUUGACAUUAAAUUGUAUGCACUUUUUUCAGACCGGCUCUUUCGCUGAUUAAAAAAAUUCUAUCUAUGGAAAUGGCCCUAUAAAAGCCCCUAUUUUUCUCGUAAUAGGCCAUAAGAAGUUUGAACCAACUGCUUCAUGCAGCUCUCGUCUUCCGUUCGCAAGAUAUAUUACUUUUAGUUUUAACUUUUAACGCAAAUAUACUGCAAAAGAUUGGUAAUAUUGUCAAAAAUAAGUACAAGGACUCAAAUUGGAAGAGAUGUGCGUUGCAACAAAGGUGGCACUGUGCACUUAAAAAAAUGGUUGGUGGGGUCGAUAUAAAACGUCCUAAAAAAAAAGGGAAAAAAAUGUAAUGGAAGAAGCUCGUUCAACAGAUCAAGCAAUCAACGGCUCAUUAAAAUUACCCACGCAUAUAGAUAUACUAAAAUACAGAAUACAUAAAAACACACAUUUACACCCACUCUCAUUCACUCACAUCUCAUCCACAAUGGUAACAAUAAUUAGGAAAUUAAGCGAAUUAAAAAGUAAAUUAAUGUCUGAAGGAAUAUAAAAAUUGCACCAAAUAAUAUGCAUACAAAUAUUAGUCAAAACAGGUAUACAUAAAUAUAUGGAAAUUAAACUUAACUACUCAAAGUAAUUUAUUGCAAUACCCAAAUUCGGUAUUUGCAAUAUUCAAUAAUUUGUAAUGAUUGAUUAUAUUAAACGAGCUAUAAACCACAGAACAUUCACUACUGUCUAUGAAUAGUACACGUAAAUGUAAAUGUCUAACAAUGCCGGCUAAUUCUAUAGCUCCAAGAAGUAUGUUGCCUAAUUUCGUUAUCUACUAUAUUAUAUUUUCAAUAGAGUUCGGUUAAAUGAAAUGUACAAACCAAUGGCAAACUUACAAGUUCGUAAAAUACUUCUUAGAAAAAAGCUUAACCUAAAAAUAACUAUAACUAUCUGUGCUAUUAAAUGUAAGCUUUAAGAGUAUAUACAUACAAAUAUAUUAAUGCCACUAUUAAAAACACUUUCAUAUUUCCGAAAUUUUUAAAACAUUCCCCCUCACACUAGACAUAAUUUAAAUUGCACUGUCAUUGUUGUUUUAUUCAAGCUAUCUCUUAGCAAUGUUGAAUUAAACAAAACAACUUAAUUUAUGAUUUGGUAAAUCUACUAAUAUUGGAAAAAUCGUAAAUGUAUAUGAAUUAUGCAACGGUAACAAUACUAAUAUAUUAAAUAUUUAUCUGUGGAAUAUCGCGAAACAAAUAUUUACUAAAUAUAAUAA